AACGAACGCUGGCGGCGUGGAUAAGACAUGCAAGUCGAACGGGACUAAAUCUGUAGCAAUACAGGUUUAGUUUAGUGGCGAACGGGUGCGUAACACGUGGGCAAUCUGCCGAGAAGUGGGGGAUAGCUCGCCGAAAGGCGAAUUAAUACCGCAUAUGAUCAGUGAAGACAUCUUCACGACAUCAAAGCCGGGGCAACCUGGCGCUUCUUGAUGAGCCCGCGGCCUAUCAGCUAGUUGGUGAGGUAACGGCUCACCAAGGCUAUGACGGGUAGCUGGUCUGAGAGGACGACCAGUCACACUGGAACUGAGACACGGUCCAGACACCUACGGGUGGCAGCAGUCGAGUAAUUUUUCUCAAUGGGGCAACCCUGAAGGAGCGACGCCGCGUGGAGGAUGAAGGUCUUUCGGGUUGU
rnacentral:rRNA from 1 species